AUAUAUAUAUAUAUAUAUAUAUAUAUAUAAAACAUGUCUUAAAUAAAUAACAAAUAUCUUGUUAAAUAAAUUUAUUAUAAUAUCAUAAAUCUUUUUUUGAAUAUAUUGAACACAUAUCUUUCAUUAUAUAUAUAAAAUUUAUUAUAAUAUAUUUUUUUAUCUAACGUUUAAAAUAAAAAGAGACGAUUAAAAAUGAAUCGCGCCAUUAUUCGCUUACGCGUACGUUUUUUCUGGUAUGUGACGUACUCUGUGACAACCUGCUUAUUCAGCUGAAGAAAGAAUAAUAACCUCCUACUAGAAAUAUUGCUUCGUAAUAUUAAUAAUUAAUCAUUAAUAAUUACACAGACCAAUUACUAUAUAUAUUUUUAUAUUGUAUAUUAUGCAUAAACAUUAUGUAUAAUAUAUAAUAAUAUAUUUUUCUAUAAGAAUGCAUAAAAUAAAAACUCGAAUAAAAUAUAUGUAUGUUUAGGAAAAAUGGAAAUAAUUUGUAUAAUAAAUGAAAAAAGUUCGUUUGAAAAUAGUUAAUGGAAAGAAAGAUCCAACAACGAAUCAAGAUCCAAUGCGAAUCAUGAUAUUAAUUAUACAUAUAUGGACGGAACAUGGGGCACUGGCAUUAAAACGAUUUUUCAUAGAAGACAUUUGCAAGGUCACUUAAAGCAAGGCACACAAACGUCCGUUAUGUAAGAUUAUUCUUAUAAGCUUAAGAUUUUAGGUAUGUGCGUUUCUCAUAAUUUAUACAUUUAUGUAUGAUGGACAUAUACAUAGAAAGGAAAAAAAGAAAGAGAUGGAGCAUGUUCAUAUGUAGAUGUAUAUAUGCGAUUGCACACGUAUAUAUUUUCAAAGAAAUAACACCAAAAGAGAUGGUAAAAAGAAUGGAAGAAGAAUGUGUCUGUAUUUGCGCGUAUGUAAUGUACACGGAACAAACAAAACGUCAGCAUGAAAUUGAUAUUUGCUGAAUAUAGAUAAUCGUAAAAAUGUGCGUAAAAAUAAAAAAAAAAAUAAAAAAGAGAAGAAAAAAAGAAA